rnacentral:rRNA from 1 species
GGCGAACGCUGGCGGCGUGCCUAAUACAUGCAAGUAGGACGCAGUUGCGAACGGGUGAGUAACGCGUAGGUGACUGCCUAUUAGAGGGGGAUAACUAUUGGAAACGAUAGCUAAUACCGCGUACUAGUAGAUGGACCUGCGUUGUAUUAGGUAGUAGGUAGGGUAAUGGCCUCCCUAGGCGACGAUACAUAGCCGAGUUGGGAGGGUGAACGGGCACCCCGGGACUUGGGAACGGCCCAGGAUUCUUCGGGAGGGAGCAGGAGGGGAUCUUCGGCAAUGGGGGAAACCCUGAACGAGCAACGCCGCGGGAGUGAAGAAGGUUUUCGGAUCGUAAAGCUCUGUUGUGAAGGAAGCGGUACUUAACCAGAAAGGGACGGCUAACUACGUGCCAGCCGCCGCGGUAAUAC